rnacentral:lncRNA from 1 species
GUAACUUAUGUCAACAUUCUGAGCAGAAAUACUGCCAUGCCUUUUCAAUUGGAUAGUGUAAAACAUCAAAAUGUAUACAAAAAAAAGAAUAACAUAUUAGUGAUGAAAUUUUAUAUUCUAUAAAUUCUUACCUUUUGGUUUAUGUGUUGUAUAUUUCAGCAACCAGCAAGGGUAGUGUAAAGUAUUUAACCUUAGUUAUGUAUUAAAUCUUAACUUUCUAGAUAAGUUGUAGUUGGUAGAUUGAAAGAUUCCGCACCAUACAGACAAAAAUCAGAAACUAAAAAUAGUAAUAUAAGUAGCACGCCGAUAUGUUUUCAACACGCUCCAACAAUGUAUCAUACUCAUUUGAAUUAUUCAAUAACCAUGAAAAGUGUCACCUGUUGAACAAAAGGCAGUCCAUUGCAUGAAACCAAAGGAGAGGCCCGGGGCCAGAACUACUAUUGGUAAUGGACCUCAUUUCAACUAGUCAAUGGAAUGUCUAAUCCAUCUUAUCCAUUCUAGCAGCAGCUAAAAGGUGACGCCAGACAUCCAAAGGAGUCCUCUCAUCAAGCAUGCCUAUAGGCAAGCAUCAUGAAGGCUUUGAAAUGCGUUUGAUCUUGGGUUAUCAACAGAUGAGGUCACGGAAAAAGUAGUUUGUCACAUCAGCACUGCACCUUGCAGUAUGUGGUCGCGGAACUCCAGAUAAACAAUAAUUGUAUCCACUUAGCAUAUUUGACAUAUCAACCUCGAACUCAUGAACCAGCAGUACUAAAUCCUUUGCGGCACAAAUGCUGUGGGGCUUGUCGGUUUGAAUGAUAGUUGCCUAACGAAGCACAUGGUAGGCUGCAAGCGUGCAGGUAGUCAAAUUAAGAUAAAGGCAUACUGCACUAAAAUCAAGGAUCAACUGGUAACUAACCAAAAUCAACUAGUAUUUGCUAGGGGUAAUUUUACCAUCCUUGCAAAAGAUACCGUAAGGCACCAUAUUUUUUAGUGUAAAAUUUAGUACCUCGAGUUACUUUCGCAAGGACAGUAAAACUUCUCGUUUGCUAGACGUAACGGGAUUUCGGCUAGCCAGAGCUCAAUUCCUCCCCGCAUAUGAUAGUUUCACGUGCAAUCUGUACCCCCACAAUUUCAACCAACGUGUGCAGAGUACAAUGAACCUUCUACAGUUCGACUACCUAUUAUCCCCUUAUCGCGAAGCACGCGGAAAGCGAAUCUGUCCGGUCCCUGCUAUCCAGACAAAGCGCGCCAUGCGACCCUAAGGCAUACGAUGAUGCUGAAAGCCGGACAUACCGGGACCGCGGCGCCUCCAGCAAUCAGCGAUGGCCCCCACCGCGAUCACCGCGUGACGGUGGUGCGGCGCUGUGGAGGGAGGAGACGUGGGGACUGGUGGUGGUGGUGGGGGGGGGGGAUACUCACAUGGUGCUAACUCGGCUGGACGCCGCCGCGGGGAGCGGCGCGGCGGCGAGCCGGCCUCUCUCGCGCCGCGCCCAUUUCGAAAUGGAGAGGGGAGGGGAGCGGAGCGGAGGUGAGACGCCGCAUGGUGACGCCGAUACCGUCGGCGACGGGGGAGGAGGAGGAGGAGGAGGCCUUCGGCUUGGGCUCUCUGCCGUUAUGGGCCGCUCCUGGGUCAGAUGUUAAUUGGGCUCAGAUCGGUCGAGUUCGGAAUAAGUUCAUUGGAGUUUGAAAGUCAUCCCAAAACCACAAUAUUCAAGU